rnacentral:rRNA from 1 species
AACGUACGCUGGCGGCACGCCUAACACAUGCAAGUCGAACGAAGUAGCAAUACUUAGUGGCAGACGGGUGAGUAACAUGUAGGUAUCUGCCCUUUGGCCUGGAAUAACACGAGGAAACUUGUGCUAAUACCGGAUAAGUCUUUACGGAGAAAGCUUUAUGCACCAUUGGAUGAGCCUGCACUUGAUUAGUUUGUUGGUGGGGUAAUGGCCUACCAAGACUGUGAUCAAUAGCUGAUUUGAGAGGAUGAUCAGCCACAUUGGGACUGAGACACGGCCCAAACUCCUACGGGAGGCAGCAGUGGGGAAUCUUGCACAAUGGAGGAAACUCUGAUGCAGCGAUGCCGCGUGAGUGAAGAAGACCCUUGGGUUGUAAAGCUCUUUCGUCGGGGAAGAAAAUGACUGUACCCGAAUAAGAAGGUCCGGCUAACUUCGUGCCAGCAGCCGCGGUAAUACGAAGGGACCUAGCGUAGUUCGGAAUUACUGGGCUUAAAGAGUUCGUAGGUGGUUGAAAAAGUUAGUGGUGAAAUCCCAGAGCUUAACUCUGGAACUGCCAUUAAAACUUUUCAGCUAGAGUAUGAUAGAGGAAAGCAGAAUUUCUAGUGUAGAGGUGAAAUUCGUAGAUAUUAGAAAGAAUACCAAUUGCGAAGGCAGCUUUCUGGAUCAUUACUGACACUGAGGAACGAAAGCAUGGGUAGCGAAGAGGAUUAGAUACCCUCGUAGUCCAUGCCGUAAACGAUGUGUGUUAGACGUUGGAAAUUUAUUUUCAGUGUCGCAGGGAAACCGAUAAACACACCGCCUGGGGAGUACGACCGCAAGGUUAAAACUCAAAUGAAUUGACGGGGACCCGCACAAGUAGUGGAGCAUGUGGUUUAAUUCGAAGAUACGCGCAGAACCUUACCAACACUUGACAUGUUCGUCGCGACUCUAAGAGAUUAGAGUUUUCGGUUCGGCCGGACGAAACACAGGUGCUGCAUGGCUGUCGUCAGCUCGUGUCGUGAGAUGUUGGGUUAAGUCCCGCAACGAGCGCAACCCUCACUUUUAGUUGCCAUCAUUAAGUUGGGCACUCUGAAAGAACUGCCAGUGAUAAGCUGGAGGAAGGUGGGGAUGACGUCAAGUCCUCAUGGCCCUUACGUGUUGGGCUACACACGUGCUACAAUGGUAUCUACAACAGGAAGCAAGACUGCGAAGUUAAGCAAAUCCCUAAAAGAUACCUCAGUUCGGAUUGCACUCUGCAACUCGAGUGCAUGAAGCUGGAAUUACUAGUAAUCGUGGAUCAGCGUGCCACGGUGAAUGCGUUCCCGGGUCU